rnacentral:lncRNA from 1 species
UAUGUAUCAUUUGGAAGUUUAGCCAAAUUAGAAGGUGAUCAAAUGGAAGAAUUGGCAUGGGGUUUGAAGAAUAGCAACAACAACUUCUUGUGGGUUGUUAGGUCUACUGAAGAAUCCAAACUUCCCAAGGACUUUUUAGAGGUGUUGACACCCAAUUUUGGCCUAAUAUUUUCAAAAUUCGUAACUUUUAAGUUUUAUUUAUUUAAUAGUUCAAAAUAGAUUUUUUUUAAAAUUUUAAAUAAGUUUACCGAUAACUAUCAUUCUUUAUCAAAAUUUAGGAUUUUUUUUUACUUAGUUAAUUUUAAAAUUACAUUUUUUCAUGUCAUUAGGUACGUUUAUUAUGUAUAUAUUUUUUUAAUAUUGAUUUUAUUAGUUAUAUUUGUUAAUAUUCAUUUUGAUAUUCUGCACAAUUUAGAAAUUCGUUCAAAUAUAGAUAAAUUUUCGUAUACGACUAUUUUAUUAACUAGUGGUUUCGGCCCAUAAUUUUUAGAUAAGGAUAUUGUACAAUAGAAGGUUUUUAGUUUUUCUAUUUAAUUCAUUUCUUAGUCUUUAAAAGGGGGGUUGAAUUAUUUUUUAGGGGGGAAGAAUUUUCUAAAUGUCAAAACACUAAAUUUAUUUUCCUCCUUAGCCGCCAACACCCAAAUCCCUCACUCUAUUUUCCUCUUCCCCAAAGCCAACUGAAGCAGCCAUCAAACAACCUCUUCUCCCUCACCACAAACCACCAUCGCUCCACCCACCAAGCUCCAAACACAACCAACCACCACCGUCUGAAAACAACCAACAACCAUCUCCGAGAACAGCCAGCAGCUCCAGCGAAGGCAGCGCCGACCAGCAGCUCCUCCACUCCUCCCGUCUCUGCACCGCAAGCAAUAGCAGGCAGCAGCCUCACGAAACUCCGACGAGGACUCCGCCAACAACUCAAAUCCCACAAGCACGAGUUCGAGUUCCGGUGAGCUCGGAGCUUUUGUGCCAACAACAACAUCGCCAUCUCCAGAUCUGCUCAGAAAAGUAACAACCCUGUGACCUCCUUUUAAUUUUACGUUUUUUCUUAUAUCUACUGCUUAUGAAUAUUGACUUGAAUUUUAUUGUUUUUAUCUAGAGUAUGACUACUGUUGGUUACUUUAUUUUAUUUGUAGAUAAAUAUUGGUGUUAUUUGUAUAUAAAUAUUAGAGUUAGAUCAGUUAAUAGUGGCUUGUUUCCUUUCAAUUCCUAUUAAGUGACACAUGUGUUAGCUUUAAUAAUAAACUAAAUAAUAUGAUAUAUGACCUUCUUACUUUUUCAUUUCAUAUUGUUAUGAUCUUUAUUUAGUCUUUCAGUUUAAAUGUUUGGUAAUUAGCAAAAUUUAAGUUAAUUCGGUUAUCUAUGUCUAUCUUAACUUUGUUUGGUCAUAUCUAUCAUAGUCUAACUUCAUUUAUUUCUUGCCUUUGUUUUGACUAUUAUAUAAGUUAGUUAUUGUUUUAAAUUUCUCAUUAUUUGUUCAUUAUUGUUUGGAUCGUUAUUAAUGUUAUUUCUUUCAUUAUGUGUUCAUGUUUAUUUGAAAACUUGUUUCUAACAAAUUUUACAUUUUUGUCUACUUUUGAAGUUAUUUGUUCCAAGUAGUAUUGUUACUUGUGAACUAACAUAGCAUAUAUUUGAAUGUUGUCCUAGUUUGCAUUUUCUAGUUACCAACUUUAUCUACCAUUGUCUUGUUCUACCACUGUCUUGUUGAUUAUCCUCCAUUUGUUUAGGUUAUUUUUUUUAUUAUUAUUUUUAUCGUUUUGGUCUUUGGCCAAUGAAAAAAUCUCUCCGUCGAUUUUGGAGGCCUUUACAUUGUAAAAGACGGAAAUUUAGUUUAAUUUCAUAUAUUUUAUUUGUUAAAAUGGCCGACGAAGAAAUUACCGUCAAUUUCCAAGGCCUCCCAUGUCAAUAAGACGGAUUUUUUAUUUUGAAUUUAUUAUUUAAUUUAUUUAUUUUUAUAAGUAUUUAUCUACCACUAACAUUUUUACUAAGUGUCUUUACAGGUACUCGGAGCUGCUUCCCAUUGAGACUAUUAGAACAAAGUUCGAACAAUAUUUUUGAUUUAUUAUUGUGCAUAUUAUUGAUGUUAAGCAAAUCUAGCUUUUUUUUUCUUAUUAUUAUUUAUUUGUUUAUUAUAUUUUUAUAUUUGAUUUUAUCUCCUCCUCAAAUUUGAAAAAGUGAAUUCAGUCGGGAACCACAUUUGUGGAUUUCGAAGAAUGCUUAAUACCUUCCCUUCGAAAUCACUUGAACCCCUUACCUAGAAUCUAAUGGUUUCGUAGAUCACUUUAAUUGGUUUCCUAGUUUUUCCUAAAAUUAGGUGGCGAUUCUUUUAAAAUUCUUAUUUUCCUUAGAAUUCUUUUAAAAUUGAAUUAAUUGAUUAUUUUUUAAGUAAUCGCGACGUUCCGCUCUAUUUGAAUAGAGUAGGAAUGUAAACAGAAUGGCGAUUCUGCUGGGGAUAUAGAGGUUCUGACCAUUAUGAGUUCACUUUUUCAAAUUGAGGAGUUAUUAUUUUAUUGUGUUAUUCAUUAUAUCUUUUAUAUUUUAUGAAUCAAUAAGGUGUUUUCUGACACACUGUGGGUGGAAUUCGACUCUGGAAGCAAUUAGUUUGGGAGUGCCAAUGGUGGCAAUGCCACAAUGGAUAGAUCAACCAACAAAUGCAAAAUUUGUGAAGGAUGUUUGGAAAAUAGGUGUUAGAGCAAAACUAGAUGAAAAAGGGAUAGUUAGAAGAGAAGUUAUUGAAGAAUGUAUAAAAUUAGUGAUGGAAGAAGAGAAAGGGAAAUUGAUUAGGGAAAAUGCAAAGAAAUGGAAGGAAAUAGCUAGAAAUGUUGUGGAUGAAGGAGGAAGUUCAGAUAAAAAUAUUGAAGAAUUUGUUUCCAAGUUGGUCACUAUAUCCUAAGUACGAAAUUAUAUAAGUCAUAAGAAAUAAUUAAUAAGUUGAUUUCUGUUUUGCAAUAAUUAGGGCUUAAUUAUGUAUUUUCCCGUGAAUUUACAAAAUUACUGUUCGUGUCAAAUUUCAAUUCUCAAAUACAUGUAUCUGGCACAUCCAAAUAUAUAUAUAUAUAUAUAUGUAUCUCGAAUAGAUGCAGUCAAAAUUAGAUAUAAUUUAUUUCAGAUACAUUAAAUAUACGGAAAAGGACCUAAAAUACCCUCAUCUUUAAUUAGCAAAUUAAUUAAAAAAUCAUAUACCCACCUCGUAAACCUACCCAAAUAUUCUAACCCAACUUCAUCCCCAAACCUUUUAACCUAUUGUUGAGAAACCUCAACAGAUUUUACAGCCAUAAUUGGUGGAAAGUAGCUGUAAUUCAAUUUGGGGUUCUUCAAAGUAUCUAAAUAAACUUCUUUUACCUACCAUUACUCCUCUGUACCAUACGCUCCAAAUCCAAAUCUCCGAUAUCAAAGCUCACAUUAUUCUAAUCUGUUCAUGGCCAUUGCGUCCCUGGCUUAUCUAUUCAACAGUAAUAUCAACUACUGACUGCUGGAAUAUGUCUGCUCAACACAAGUCCAACAGGUUCAGUUUGGUACCAUAAAACAAUUGUGAGCUUUGAUAGAACAAGUAGAGAGGACAUUUGGAUUUGGAGCGUAUGCGUUUUUUAGGUUAAAAGGUUUGCAGAUGAAGGUUGGGUUAGAAUAUUUGGGGGUAAGUUUACGGGUGGGUAUAUUGUUUUUUUUUAAUUAGUUUAAUUAAUAGUUAGGGUAGCCAAUAGUAUAGUGACACGUUAUUAAUGAAUUUGUUAAUUGAGGUUAUCAUUUAGGUUGUUAAAAAUGAGGGGAAAAUAUAACCAAAAGGUUGACGUCAAGGGCAUUUUAGGCACGAAAAGUAGAAAAAGGGUAAUUUUGUACUAAUUCACAUAGUUGAAGGGUAUUUUAGGCCAUCUUCCAUUAAAUAUGAGUGAAUUCAUAUGUGUGUGUGAUACACUGACUCUCUCACUCAUCUAUCUCCAAUCUUGCUUGCUUCUCUCCCUCUCUCACUUGCUUCCUCCUUAUAUAUAUUUGUAUUUCAGAAUGUAUCACAAAUGCACACUACAACAAAAAUAAUUUUUAGCGGCAAUAAAUAGACAUAUUAAUAAAGAGUGCUAAAGUCUUUACUGACAUUAGUUAAGUGUCAUUAGAUCUAAUGUCACUAAAGGCUUUAGGGACAUAUACAAAGAGUGCUAAUUGCCGCUAAAAAUACAUAUUUAGCGGCAAUUGAGCUAUUGCCGUUAAUUAAUUGCCGAUGAAGAUCAUUCUUGAUAUAGUGGCACUUGGUAUCCCAGAUAUAUGUAUUUAGUGUAAUUUACAUGUAUUUGGGAUACACUAACACUCUCGCUCGCCUCCCUCCUAUCUCGCUCGCCUUUCUCCCUCUCUCGUUCGCCUCCCCCCUAUGUAUUUGUGUUUUAGAGUGUAUUUAGUAGCAAAAAUUCAUAUAUCUUGAUGUAUCUGACUUGAAAUUUGUUAUGAAAUUACAAGUAUGACUACGGUUGAAUAAUGGUAUAUACAUUGAUUACUGAUAUGUAAACGAUAUACACAAUAUAUAUAUAUACCAAUAUAUUGUGAUUUGUGAAUAUCACUCCACAUACAAAUUGUAGUAAAUAUUUUUUUUCCUUUUAAAGAUAAAUUAUUAUAUACUACUCCUAAAUAUAAAGUCAAAACGAGAACCUUAAAGUCUUUCUUGUACACGUUCCCCUACAUUGAGCACACUACAUUAGACACUAGAUUUGUUUAACUUUUAAUAAUUUACUCUUUCUUAUAUGAAAAGUUUAUAUUUUUUACUAUAAACUCAAUAUUUCUUUUAAAAAAAUAUCUAUAACUUAUUAUUGCUUUAAAAAAGUCUCCGGGCCUAAGGCUACUAUUUAUUUUAAGGUUUGUAGAGUCGUCCUACUACAUCUCAUAGUAUUUGUGUAAAUGAUAUAUAAACACUUUCAAAAUAAUAAUUUUUACUUACGUAUCAAAUUAUUUUUUUACAAAACUCAAUUUUUACUAAAAAUUAUUUUACAAAGAAAAUAUUUUUCAAGCCAUCCAAAAUAUAUCUCGAGCUAGAACUAUUUUUCGAUAAUUUAACACCACACAAUAAAUUGUUUGUAUUUCAAAGAAAAUGACCCCAAUAAUUGGUACAACAAACUUAAUUUGGCAAUAUGGACCAUAUUCAUAGGUACUAAUAGACACAUUUUGAAUUACUUAUCAUAAUUCAUUUCUCGAGAAAGUUAAAUUACAUAAAUUUUGAUUAAUUUCUAUGAUAUAUUUUUUCCUGAAAUUAAUAUAAAAAAUUGUAUAACUUAUAGACUAUAGUAUAAGAACCACAUUUUCACCAUAGGAUUUUCUCAUCCUUCAACUAAUAAAAUAAUUGUCUGAGAUAAUUACUAAGUAUUAGUUAAGAGAUCAUUUGCGAAAUCUAACUCCUUUUAGACCAUCAAUUGAGAAGUUGCAAAAGAUGAGUACUAGUCACAAAACUCACUGUUUGAUUUUGCCAUAUCCAGUCCAAGGUCAUAUCAACCCAAUGCUCCAAUUCUCCAAACGUUUACAAUCCAAACGUGUUGAAAUCAUUAUAGCAACCACAAAAUACUUGUUGAAAAACAUGAAAGAAUUGCCAACUUCUGUGUCAAUCGAGGCCAUAUCCGAUGGCUAUGAUGAUGGUGGUCGCGAUCAAGCAGGAUCUUUCGUGGCCUAUGUUACACGAUUCAAAGAAGUUGGCUCGGAUACUCUGUCUCAGCUUAUACAAAAAUUGGCAAAUAGUGGAUGUCCUGUAAAUUGCAUAGUAUAUGAUCCAUACCUUAAUUGGGCUGUUGAAGUGGCAACAAAAUUUGGAUUAGUUAGUGCUGCAUUUUUCACACAAAAUUGUGCAGUGGAUAACAUUUAUUAUCAUGUACAUAAAGGGGUAAUAAAAUUUCCACCUACUCAAAAUGAUAAAGAAAUCAUAAUUCCUGGAUUUUCAUGUCCAAUUGAGGCAUCAGAUGUACCUUCUUUUGUUUUUAGGCCUGAAGCAGAAAGAAUAAUUGAAAUGAUGGUAAAUCAAUUCUCAAAUCUUGACAAAGUUGAUUGGGUUCUAAUCAACAGCUUCUAUGAGUUGGAGAAAGAGGUAACAUAUUUAUAUAGAUGUUUAAUCGAAGUUAUACAAAAAAUGAACUGACAAAAUCAUCUCUUUAAAAAAAUAAAAUCAAGAGAUUCAAGAUACAUCUUAUUUUGUUUUUAUUGUUUGUCAUGUAGGUAAUUGAUUGGAUGUCCAAGAUAUAUCCAAUAAAGACAAUUGGACCAACAAUACCAUCAAUGUACUUAGACAAGAGACUACAUGAUGACAAAGAGUAUGGUCUUAGUAUCUUCAAGCCAAUGACAAAUGAAUGCCUAAAUUGGUUAAAUCAUCAACCAAUUAGCUCAGUGGUGUAUGUAUCAUUUGGAAGUUUAGCCAAAUUAGAAGCUAAGCAAAUGGAAGAAUUAGCAUGGGGUUUGAAGAAUAGCAACAACAACUUCUUGUGGGUUGUUAGGUCCACUGAAGAAUCCAAACUUACCAAGACCUUUAUAGAGGAAUUAACAAUUGAAAAAGGACUAGUGGUGUCAUGGUGUCCACAAUUACAAGUGUUGGAACAUGAAUCAACAGGGUGUUUUCUGACACACUGUGGGUGGAAUUCGACUCUGGAAGCAAUUAGUUUGGG